CUCUCUACGAAAGGUCACCCGGCACCCUCUCUCCCUCUCUGUAAUUCCUCAUCUUCUUCAUCACUCUGUUUAGUUUAAUGCUUGGUGAAUACCAUCGGUGGUUCCUUCCUACUUAGGUUUCUUCGAGUUGGGAAUCGAGGAGGAGCGCCAGUUCGCAGAUGCCGAAGAGAAAGCAACGUGAAAUCAUAUCCGUUGAUGAUUUCUGCGCUUCUGCUGCUGCUGGUAAUUGUUUCCACUUUCUGGUGACGGUGAACGACUGUUUCGAGCUUAGUUUUGCAUGGCCAAAUAGGAGACGGAACAAUAAUGCUUCCUUUUCCAAGCACCCGAAUAAGUUAGACACCAAUAAAUUUGAGUGUUGCUUCAGGAAUAUAUGGCAGGGUCUUUCAGAAGAUAAGAAGGGUUCGUUCACUUUUCUGGACAGCCUGUGGUUUCCCCUGUACAUGAACGAAUCAUCGAGGGAAAAAGUUCUGAAGUGGAUUGAGAAGAAGUGUAUCCUCUCCAAGAAAUAUGUUGUCAUACCCAUUGUUUAUUGGGGACAUUGGAGUCUCUUGAUCUUAUGUCAUUUUGGUGAUAGAAAAUCGAAGAACAGGACACCAUGCAUGAUAUUGCUUGAUUCACUGCACAUGGCAAACCCUAAGAGACUGGAACCGGAGAUAAGAAAGUUUGUAGUGGACAUUUAUAAAGCUGAAGCCAAGGAGAGACCAAAAAAGAAACCAGCAACUUCUCAGAUUCCACUCUUGGUGCCUAAGGUACCACAACAGAGAAAUGGGGAGGACUGUGGCCGUUUUGUUCUUUACUUCACCAGUUUAUUUGUUGAGAAUGCUCCCAAGAAUUUCAGCACAGAUGAUGGCUACCCUUACUUUAUGAAAGAGGACUGGUUCUGUCCUCAAGACUUGGAUCGUUUUUGCAGUGGACUUAUAUUAUAAAACUGACUAUUGUGGAUGUGGAAGACUUGGACACAAUUGUUGAGAACAGUGAACUGUGUAAGACAUGCCUUACUGAAUUUUUUCUUUGACAUAAUUUCUAUCAAUGAUAUUGAUUGGCAAUAUUGUGAUUUGACCGGUCGAUAAUUUUUUGGCACAAUGUAAAAAUUUAUUGUCUAUGCAGGACAUUUUGCAUGUAUAAUUGUGGAUUUAAAUUGUGACAA